UACGUAGGGUGCAAGCGUUGUCCGGAAUUAUUGGGCGUAAAGAGCUCGUAGGCGGUCUGUUGCGUCGGCUGUGAAAACCCGAGGCUCAACCUCGGGCCUGCAGCCGAUACGGGCAGACUAGAGUUCGGCAGGGGAGACUGGAAUUCCUGGUGUAGCGGUGAAAUGCGCAGAUAUCUGGAGGAAUACCGGUGGCGAAGGUGGCAUCCUGGACCGACAUUGACGCUGAGGAGCGAAAGCUAGGGGAGCAAACGGG
rnacentral:rRNA from 1 species